rnacentral:rRNA from 1 species
AUACGUAGGUGGCGAGCGUUGUCCGGAAUUACUGGGUGUAAAGGGCGUGUAGGCGGGAAGACAAGUCCGAUGUGAAACCCCACGGCUUAACUGUGGGACUGCAUCUGAAACUGUUUUUCUUGAGUACUGGAGAGGGAAGUGGAAUUCCUAGUGUAGCGGUGAAAUGCGUAGAUAUUAGGAGGAACACCAGUGGCGAAGGCGGCUUCCUGGACAGAAACUGACGCUGAGGCGCGAAAGCGUGGGGAGCAAACAGGAUUAGAUACCCUGGUAGUCCACGCCGUAAACGAUGGAUACUAGGUGUAGGAGGUAUCGACCCCUUCUGUGCCGGAGUUAACACAAUAAGUAUCCCACCUGGGGAGUACGGCCGCAAGGUUGAA